CAAAGCUCUAGGAGCAGCUCAGGAGAGAACCGUCUGGAACUAAUAGCCCUUGCAGCCCUGCCUGCCCGGCCAUGUGGCGCCUUAUGGUCUUGAUGCUGCUGCUACUCCCUGUCGUCCCCAUUCCCAGCGCCACUGCUGUUCCCAUCCCGGAUGCCAAAGCCCAGGACAGCCUGCAGGGCCUUCUCCAAGGUUCUCAAGCUGCAAGAGACAGAGGGACGUGGGCAAUCGCAGAUCAAGUUACUCACUCCGGCUGUCCUCCUGGGUUAUGAGCCCCAAAGUCCCAGAGGCUGGCCUGCGGCUCUGUGAGAAACCUCCACGGCUAUAGGCCAUCUGCCCCAGUCGUCUUAAAGGGGGCCUGCCCCAAAGGGAGACCUGGGGCCUCCCUCAGUUCCAACAGCCCACCCCCCAGACCCACUCGAGGCUCAUCAGCAGCUGUUGGUUCUGGGGGUGGGCAU